CCUACGGGGGGCUGCAGUAAGGAAUAUUGGUCAAUGGACGAAAGUCUGAACCAGCCAUCCCGCGUGCAGGAUGAAAGCCCUAUGGGUUGUAAACUGCUUUUAGCAGAGAAGAAAAGCUUUCAUUAAUGAGAGUCUGACGGUAUCUGCAGAAUAAGCACCGGCUAACUCCGUGCCAGCAGCCGCGGUAAUACGGAGGGUGCGGGCGUUAUCGGGUAUAACUGGGGCUAAGGGGUGCGUAUAAGGCAGUUUAGAAAUCUUGGCGAUUAACGAUACAAUUGCCAAUGAUACUGGUACUCUUGAAUUGGGUUGAGGUUAGCGGAAUGUGACAUGUAGCGGUGAAAUGCAUAGAUAUGUCAUGGAACACCAAUUGCGAAGGAAGCUAACUGGGCCUUGAUUGACGCUGAGGCACGAAAGCGUGGGUAGCGAACAGGAUUAGAUACCCGAGUAGUC
rnacentral:rRNA from 1 species